rnacentral:rRNA from 1 species
AACGAACGCUGGCGGCGUGCUUAACACAUGCAAGUCGAACGUGAUUGGGAGCUUGCUCCCAUGAAAGUGGCGCACGGGUGAGUAAAGUAUCGGAACGUGCCCAGUCGUGGGGGGUAACGUAGCGAAAGUUACGCUAAUACCGCAUACGAUCUAUGGAUGAAAGCGGGGGAUCGCAAGACCUCGCGCGAUUGGAGCGGCCGAUAUCAGAUUAGGUAGUUGGUGGGGUAAAGGCUCACCAAGCCGACGAUCUGUAGCGGGUCUGAGAGGACGACCAGCAACACGGGGACUGCGACACGGCCCAGACUCCUACGGGAGGCAGCAGUGGGGAAUUUUGGACAAUGGGCGCAAGCCUGAUCCAGCCAUGCCGCGUGCAGGAUGAAGGCCUUCGGGUUGUAAACUGCUUUUGUACGGAACGAAAAGGUUUGGCCUAAUACGCUGAACUCAUGACGGUACCGUAAGAAUAAGCACCGGCUAACUACGUGCCAGCCGCCGCCGUAACAC